rnacentral:rRNA from 1 species
UACGUAGGGGGCAAGCGUUGUCCGGAAUCAUUGGGCGUAAAGAGCGUGUAGGCGGCUCGGUAAGUCCGCUGUGAAAGUCCAGGGCUCAACCCUGGAAUGCCGGUGGAAACUGUCGAGCUAGAGUCCGGAAGAGGCGAGUGGAAUUCCUGGUGUAGCGGCGAAAUGCGCAGAUAUCAGGAGGAACACCCGUAGCGAAGGCGGCACUCUGGGCCGAUACUGACACUGAGGAGCGAAAGCGUGGGGAGCGAACAGG